rnacentral:rRNA from 1 species
CACGUAGGGUGCGAGCGUUGUCCGGAAUUAUUGGGCGUAAAGAGCUCGUAGGCGGUGCGUCGCGUCGGCCGUGAAAACUUGGGGCGUUAACUCUGAGCGUGCGGUCGAUACGGGCAUCACUUGAGUUCGGCAGGGGAGACUGGAAUUCCUGGUGUAGCGGUGAAAUGCGCAGAUAUCAGGAGGAACACCGGUGGCGAAGGCGGGUCUCUGGGCCGAUACUGACGCUGAGGAGCGAAAGCAUGGGGAGCGAACAGG